UGCCAGCAGCCGCGGUAAUACAGAGGGUGCGAGCGUUAUCCGGAAUCACUGGGCGUAAAGGGCACGUAGGCGGUUUAUUAAGUCCGAUGUUAAAGCGUGAGGCUCAACCUCAUCACGGCGUUGGAUACUGAUAAACUUGACUUCUGGAGAGGAAAGUAGAAUUACCAGUGUAGCGGUGAAAUGCGUAGAUACUGGUAGGAAUACCCAUUGCGAAGGCAGCUUUCUGGACAGAUAGUGACGCUGAGGUGCGAAAGUGUGGGGAGCAAACCGGAUUAGAUA
rnacentral:rRNA from 1 species